rnacentral:rRNA from 1 species
UACGGAGGGUGCAAGCGUUAUCCGGAUUCACUGGGUUUAAAGGGUGCGUAGGUGGGAAAGUAAGUCAGUGGUGAAAUCUUCGAGCUUAACUCGGAAACUGCCAUUGAUACUAUAGAUCUUGAAUUUUCUGGAGGUAAGCGGAAUAUGUCAUGUAGCGGUGAAAUGCUUAGAUAUGACAUAGAACACCAAUUGCGAAGGCAGCUUACUACGGGAACAUUGACACUGAGGCAUGAAAGCGUGGGGAGCAAACAGG